rnacentral:misc_RNA from 1 species
CUCUGACUGUAUAGAGAUUUUAGCGCUCCCAUUGUUGUAUGCUAUUGAUAUAAUGUGGAACUGAAGCUUGUGGCAAUCAAACAUCACCUGCCACAUCCGGCUUAGCCCAUCAAUUAACUCCUCAAGUUGUGGCUGAAGUUCUUUGUCCCGCAAUUCCUCAAUCGUCUUAGAUAUGGAAUCGAUUCUGUGAAUUGCAACUCUAAUUCUUGAGUGUAGAUCCUUAACAACAGCACGAGUUUUAUCAAUUUUUUUGUUGUUGUUUUCUCCUUUAGAUUCCAGUUGCCUAAGGAUUGUGCGCUUGGCAUCAUACUCUCUUCUGACCAUCCAACUAGCCUGAAAGAGAAGAUAUGUAAAUAUAUU